GAUGAACGCUGGCGGCGUGCCUAAGACAUGCAAGUCGAGUGGGUUUAGACCCACGGCGAACGGGUGAGUAAUACCUAGGAACUUUCUUUAAGUGGAGCAUAACCAGUCGAAAGAUUGGAUAAUACUCCAUGUGGCAGUAAUGCUAAAGUCGCAAGACGCUUAAAGUGAGGCCUGGGCACCAUCAGCUAGUUGGUAAGGUAAUGGCUUACCAAGGCUAUGACGGUUAGGGGUCCCGAGAGGGAUAACCCCCACACUGGAACUGCGACACGGUCCAGACUCCUACGGGAGGCAGCAGUUUGGAAUUUUGGACAAUGGGCGAAAGCCUGAUCCAGCGACGCCGCGUGGACGAUGAAGGCCUUCGGGUUGGUAAAGUCCGUUUUGCUCGGGAACAAUAUUUUGAGCGUACCGAGAGGAAUAAGAGGUUGCUAACUCUGUGCCAGCA
rnacentral:rRNA from 1 species